rnacentral:rRNA from 1 species
AGUCGAGAAUCAUUCACAAUGGGGGCAACCCUGAUGGUGCGACGCCGCGUGGAGGAUAAGGUCUUCGGAUUGUAAACUCCUGUCAUGCGAGAGCAAGGCUUGUUGGGUAACUCCUGCAAGUUUGAUAGUAUCGCAAGAGGAAGAGACGGCUAACUCUGUGCCAGCAGCCGCGGUAAUACAGAGGUCUCAAGCGUUGUUCGGAAUCACUGGGCGUAAAGGGUGCGUAGGUGGCGUGGAAAGUCAGAUGUGAAAUCCGGAGGCUCAACCUCCGAAUUGCAUCCGAUACUCCCAUGCUAGAGAACUGGAGGGGAGUCUGGAAUUCUCGGUGUAGCAGUGAAAUGCGUAGAUAUCGAGAGGAACACUAGUGGCGAAGGCGAGACUCUGGACAGUUUCUGACACUGAUGCACGAAGGUCAGGGGAGCAAACGGGAUUAGAUACCCCGGUAGUCCUGACAGUAAACGGUGCACGUUUGGUGUGGGAGGAUUCGACCCCUUCUGUGCCGGAGCUAACGCGUUAAACGUGCCGCCUGGGAAGUACGGUCGCAAGAUUAAAACUCAAAGAAAUUGACGGGGACCCGCACAAGCGGUGGAGUAUGUGGCUUAAUUCGAUGCAACGCGAAGAACCUUACCUGGCCUUGACAUGCAUUGUGUCUCCGAUGAAAGUCGGAUAGCGUAGCAAUACGCGCUUUGCACAGGUGCUGCAUGGCUGUCGUCAGCUCGUGUCGUGAGAUGUUGGGUUAAGUCCCGCAACGAGCGCAACCCCUGUGAUUUGUUGCCACCGGAGCAAUCCGAGCACUCGAAUCAGACUGCCCAGAUCAACUGGGAGGAAGGUGGGGAUGACGUCAAGUCAGUAUGGCCCUUACGGCCAGGGCUGCACACGUACUACAAUGCCCAGCACAAUAUGAACCGAAACCGCGAGGUGGAGGAAAUCGAAAAAACUGGGCUCAGUUCAGAUUGAAGGCUGCAACUCGCCUUCAUGAAGUUGGAAUCGCCAGUAAUGGUGCAUCAGCUACGGCACCGUGAAUACGUUCCCGGGUCUUGUACACACCGCCCGUCACAUCAUGGAAGUUGGUUUCGCCCGAAGUGCCCACGCUAACCGCAAGGAGGCAAGGCCCUAAGGCAAGACUGGUAACUGGGAUG